rnacentral:rRNA from 1 species
UGGACAGGUGGUGGCAUGGUUGUCGUCAGCUCGUGUCGUGAGAUAUUGGGUUAAGUCCGCAACGAGCGCAACCCUCGACCUUAGUUGCCAGCAUUCAGUUGGGCACUCUAAGGUGACUGCCGGCUAAAAGGUCGGAGGAAGGUGGGGAUGACGUCAAAUCAUCAUGCCCCUUAUGACCUGGGCUACACACGUGCUACAAUGGGCGGUACAAAGGGUCGCGAACCCGCGAGGGGGAGCCAAUCCCAAAAAGCCGCUCUCAGUUCGGAUUGCAGGCUGCAACUCGCCUGCAUGAAGCCGGAAUCGCUAGUAAUCGCGGAUCAGCAUGCCCGCGGUCGAAUACGUUCCCGGGCCUU